AUGGGCACAUUUAUUUUAGUUGUCAGGAUGGUCUCAGAGGUCACAAAAAAAAAAGAGCAAGGAAAAAAAUCAUGUGCAAGAUGGCUUCUACAGAUAAUUAAAAAUUAAAUAUUUUGUCAUGCUUUUACAUGUUCCUAACUGCACUGAAACCUGAUCUUCUUGCUACAACUUUGGGCACAAAUAAAAUUUAGCAAAUGGAUAUAGACUGUACGUGCAAUGCAGGCAUAUGCUGACAUAUGACUCCCAUAUGUCAGUUCACAGCGAUUCUACAGCUCCUGAGCCUGUUUUGUUCUUUAAAUAGCUUACCACCCUUUUAACAUUUUGGACCAUUUUUCUAUUUUCAUUAUGGUUUUUCUUCCUUCCUUGAACGUCACAUUCAUUUAUAAGUGACUUGGAUCUGGCAGAAAGGACUGAGAGAAAGAAGGUAACCCCACCGGAGCAGUCCAACAUCUUUAGGAAAACUGUGUGGACUAUGAGUAUCCCGGCUUCCAGGAGCUCUGCACUCCCCCAUCACACACCCCAGGGAUGAUGAAGACCCAUCUGCCUCAGCUCAUCUCCCAGACCCUUCAUACACAUUUCACUGUGACCAGUGCUGUCACAAGUGGUAAGUGUUGCUGGGAAGACGUUCUGCCUCUCCUUGUGCCUGUUAAAGGUGUCAGAAAGACUUACCUGAGGUGUUUGUCUUGCACUGCUGCUGUGGCUGCAGGGUGAAUCCACCAUUCCUCCCCCACAGCACCAUCACUGCAAGUUCCGGUGGCAGCAAGGAGCAGGAUCAGAAACAGUACACUGGUGUCUGUCACAGACAGCAGCAGUGAG
ensembl:lncRNA